rnacentral:rRNA from 1 species
AAAGACGGUUUCCUCUUCGGAGGCACCUGCACAGGUGCUGCAUGGCUGUCGUCAGCUCGUGUCGUGAGAUGUUGGGUUAAGUCCCGCAACGAGCGCAACCCUUAUCCCCAGUUGCCAUCAGGUAAAGCUGGGAACUCUGGGGAGACUGCCGGUGAUAAACCGGAGGAAGGCGGGGAUGACGUCAAGUCCUCAUGGCCCUUACAUCCCGGGCUACACACGUGCUACAAUGGCAGGUACAGAGGGCUGCGAAGCCGCGAGGUGGAGCGAAUCCCAGAAAACCUGUCUCAGUCCGGAUUGAAGUCUGCAACUCGACUUCAUGAAGGCGGAAUCGCUAGUAACCGCGAAUCAGCAGGUCGCGGUGAAUACGUUCCCGGGCCUU